rnacentral:rRNA from 1 species
GACGAACGCUGGCGGCGUGCCUAAUACAUGCAAGUAGAACGCUGAAGGAGGAGCUUGCUCUUCUGGAUGAUUUGCGAACGGGUGAGUAACGCGUAGGUAACCUGCCUGUUAGCGGGGGAUAACUAUUGGAAACGAUAGCUAAUACCGCAUAACAGUAUAUGUUGCAUGACAUUUUCUUAAAAGGUGCAAUUUCAUCACUACCAGAUGGACCUGCGUUGUGUUAGCUAAUUGGUGGGGUAACGGCUCACCAAGGCGACGAUACAUAGUCGACCUGGGAGGGGGGUCGGCCACACUGGGAAUGGGACCAGGCCCAAGCUCCUAAGGGAGGCAGCAGGAGGGGAUUUUCGGCCAUGGACGGAAGUCUGACCGAGGAACGCCGCGUGAGUGAAGGAGGUUUUCGGAUCGUAAAGCUCUGUUGUAAGAGAAGAAAGAGUGUGAGAGUGGAAAGUUCACACUGUGACGGUAUCUUACCAGAAAGGGACGGCUAACUACGUG